AUUAAGAAGCUAUGAACCAGCAUUAGCCUUUUAAGCUAAAGAAAGAGGGCUCCACCCCUCCUUAAUGA
rnacentral:tRNA from 2 species